rnacentral:lncRNA from 1 species
UUCACACUCAAAAAACUACCUGCAAUAUUUUUAUGUGAAGGAGAGGAUGCAGUUUUUUUGCUGCUAACAUCUCACAAAACAGAGGUUCCCUGGCUCUAAUUCAAAGUUUGCUGACAAGCACCUUUUGAUGACAACCAUGGGACAAGUGUAGCUGGCAAGAAGUGUGUUGUUUCCAUUAGUGAAAAACAUCAGCUUUAUGCAGAGAUUCUUUCAGUGAGGGGCUGGACACAGUCAGAGGGUGCUGUGCUGUUGGCACCCAGUAAAUGAAAAUCAAGGUGACAGCUGUGACAUAUGAGAAGAAAAGAGCUACUACGUGUCAGGCGUAAAGAUGCAGAAAAAGUAACUACGGAAAGAUCUAUUACCAAAAUAUAAGGAUAACAUUUUGUUUCAAUUUUUCUUGUAGCUAUAAGCUCGGGAUGAGACUUUGGUCUGAUCCACUCCUGUAAAAGUCAUUUUAGUACCAUUUGCUCAU